rnacentral:rRNA from 1 species
AUUGAACGCUGGCGGCAGGCCUAACACAUGCAAGUCGAGCGGAUGAGGGUAGCUUGCUAUCUGAUUCAGCGGCGGACGGGUGAGUAAUGCCUAGGAAUCUGCCUGGUAGUGCGGGACAACGUUUCGAAAGGAACGCUAAUACCGCAUACGUCCUACGGGAGAAAGUGGGGGAUCUUCGGACCUCACGCUAUCAGAUGAGCCUAGGUACGAUUAGCUAGUUGGUGAGGUAAAGGCUCACCAAGGCGACGAUCGUUAACUGGUCUGAGAGGAUGAUCAUGCAAACUGGAACUGAGACACGGGCCAGACUCCUAAGGGAGGAAGCAGUGGGGAAUAUUGGACAAUGGGCGAAAGCCUGAUCCAGCCAUGCCGCGUGUGUGAAGAAGGUCUUCGGAUGGUAAAGCACUUUAAGUUGGGGGGAAGGGCAGUAAGUUAAUACCUUGCUGUUUUGACGUUACCGACAGAAUAAGCACCGGCUAACUACGUGCCAGCCGCCGCCGUAA